AGACGUAGAAGACAGGCAGGUGAUUUCAUUCUGAUGAAUUACAAAGCACAAAAAGCCCUUAAAGGGACAACGCAACCUUCAGAAUUUUUCAGACGAAUAGGCAAGAAAAGGGCAGGACCGGUCAGUCUUAACAGAAAUCUGUUAAUCCGACCUGAUGACUACGGUGGUGGCUUGUACAUUGAUGACGAAUACGUCGAAAACUGGUGACAGCGAAAUUCUAAUGACAUACCAUCAAAGAAAAGUGUCUAUAUAUAAAGAUGGUGUCAGCUGAAAAACAUUUCUGUCAUGUUUUUGAAAUUCAAACUGGAAUCUAUAAAAAAGAGAACCGAACAAAUAAAAAAAUCAAAUGCUGUA
rnacentral:lncRNA from 1 species